ACAGGUCACAUUGCCAUCCUGAUGUUC
rnacentral:piRNA from 1 species